UACGUAGGGUGCAAGCGUUGUCCGGAAUUAUUGGGCGUAAAGAGCUCGUAGGCGGUCUGUCGCGUCUGCUGUGAAAACUCGGGGCUUAACCCCGGGCCUGCAGUGGGUACGGGCAGACUAGAGUGCGGUAGGGGAGACUGGAAUUCCUGGUGUAGCGGUGAAAGUGCGCAGAUAUCAGGAGGAACACCGGUGGCGAAGGCGGGUCUCUGGGCCGAACUGACGCUGAGGAGCGAAAGCGUGGGGAGCGAACAGG
rnacentral:rRNA from 1 species